UGCAGCCCUAAAAAGAGAAAAAAAGAAAAAAAAAAGAAAUUUGAUAAUGGCCAACUUUUGGCCAUUAUUUUUGCUAUGUAAACUUAAUAGAUUACUAGAUGCUAUGCAAAUUUCAACUAAAGAUAUAUUUCGUUCUUCCUAAUCCUCACUGGCACUUGACCAGUAUUUAUCCUUGUUUAAAGAUAAUCUCAUAUAAAGUGAUACUGCAGUCCUAACAGAAAAAUCACUAUCAUUAUAGAAGUGUAAAGACCAAGGUAUAAAUGUCAGCAUUCUGGCACUAUUCUAAGGAAGACACUGAAAAUUAGGGCAGGGUAUUUUUAAACCAAUAGGCUUGUAAACCUAUACUUAGUAUAUAAAGUUCUGGCUUAAGUUACUUUGCCAGCAGUCAUCUGCUGCAGAUGCUUUAAGAGAAGAGCUGCUGAAAAAAAACACAUCAAGUGUAGAAGACAAGUUCAAAAAUAGAAAAUAUUACCUUUGAGCUAUGAACUCUCUUCUAAGAAAGUUUUGAAGUUUUAAGUAUUUGGAAUCUUUAAAUGUGGACUGAAAAAUGUGGAAACUGAAAAAUAUUUACUUUGUGUUCUUUCACUGUGAGGUUAAGGUCUCUACUGUAACUGUUUUCAUUACAAGGAAUAUGUAGAACAAGGCUAAAGACUGAAGCAAGAGCUUCGUUUAUAAUUAUGGUGACCAUAUGACCAAUGACAUGUAAAGGAGAAAGUUCUGCUUAUUGAAUAAGUAUUCUGCUCCCUGCUUCCUCCUUUCUGCUGCCUGGAAGAUGGACAUGCUGGCCAGAACUACAAUGGCCAUCUCGUGACCAUGAAAAAAGCCAAGGAAAUUUCAAAGACCUCUUCAUAUUCCAUGUUAAUACCAGCUACAGCCUAUUUUUUGGACUUCCUAUUACACUAAAAAAAUAAAAUCUGUACUAUUUAGUAAAGCCA